CCGAGUUAGGGUCUUAUAGGCCCGACCUCCAACCCUUUGUUUACUAUACCAUGUUGCUUUGGCGGGCCCGCCUUUGGGCCGCCGGGGGCUUUCACGCUCCUGGUCAGUGCCUGCCAGUAGCCUUAUUAAAUUCUUUCAUAAUUAUGUUGUCUGAGUAUAAAUAUAAAUCAUUUA
rnacentral:misc_RNA from 1 species